AUUGAACGCUGGCGGCAGGCUUAACACAUGCAAGUCGAACGAUGAUUAUCUAGCUUGCUAGAUAUGAUUAGUGGCGGACGGGUGAGUAACAUUUAGGAAUCUGCCUAGUAGUGGGGGAUAGCUCGGGGAAACUCGAAUUAAUACCGCAUACGACCUACGGGUGAAAGGGGGCGCAAGCUCUUGCUAUUAGAUGAGCCUAAAUCAGAUUAGCUAGUUGGUGGGGUAAAGGCCCACCAAGGCGACGAUCUGUAACUGGUCUGAGAGGAUGAUCAGUCACACCGGAACUGAGACACGGUCCGGACUCCUACGGGAGGCAGCAGUGGGGAAUAUUGGACAAUGGGGGCAACCCUGAUCCAGCCAUGCCGCGUGUGUGAAGAAGGCCUUUUGGUUGUAAAGCACUUUAAGCAGGGAGGAGAGGCUAAUGGUUAAUACCCAUUAGAUUAGACAUUACCUGCAGAAUAAGCACCGGCUAACUCUGUGCCAGCAGCCGCGGUAAUACAGAGGGUGCGAGCGUUAAUCGGAAUUACUGGGCGUAAAGCGAGUGUAGGUGGCUCAUUAAGUCACAUGUGAAAUCCCCGGGCUUACCUGGGAACUGCAUGUGAUACUGGUGGUGCUAGAAUAUGUGAGAGGGAAGUAGAAUUCCAGGUGUAGCGGUGAAAUGCGUAGAGAUCUGGAGGAAUACCGAUGGCGAAGGCAGCUUCCUGGCAUAAUAUUGACACUGAGAUUCGAAAGCGUGGGUAGCAAACAGGAUUAGAUACCCUGGUAGUCCACGCCGUAAACGAUGUCUACUAGCCGUUGGGGUCCUUGAGACUUUAGUGGCGCAGUUAACGCGAUAAGUAGACCGCCUGGGGAGUACGGCCGCAAGGUUAAAACUCAAAUGAAUUGACGGGGGCCCGCACAAGCGGUGGAGCAUGUGGUUUAAUUCGAUGCAACGCGAAGAACCUUACCUGGUCUUGACAUAGUGAGAAUCCUGCAGAGAUGCGGGAGUGCCUUCGGGAAUUCACAUACAGGUGCUGCAUGGCUGUCGUCAGCUCGUGUCGUGAGAUGUUGGGUUAAGUCCCGCAACGAGCGCAACCCUUUUCCUUAUUUGCCAGCGGGUUAAGCCGGGAACUUUAAGGAUACUGCCAGUGACAAACUGGAGGAAGGCGGGGACGACGUCAAGUCAUCAUGGCCCUUACGACCAGGGCUACACACGUGCUACAAUGGUAGGUACAGAGGGUUGCUACACAGCGAUGUGAUGCUAAUCUCAAAAAGCCUAUCGUAGUCCGGAUUGGAGUCUGCAACUCGACUCCAUGAAGUCGGAAUCGCUAGUAAUCGCAGAUCAGAAUGCUGCGGUGAAUACGUUCCCGGGCCU
rnacentral:rRNA from 1 species